rnacentral:rRNA from 1 species
GUAUUAGUUAAGUUCUUGAAACCCAAAGGAUUUGGCGGUAAUUUAGUCUUUUCAGAGGAGCCUGUCCCUUUAUCGAUAGUCCACGAUAAGACUUACUUGUUUUUGUAUUCAGUUUGUAUACCUCCGUCAUAAGGAUAUCUUUUUAGAGUGAAUUUCCUUUUUUAUUUAAUAUAAAUAUGUCAGGUCAAGGUGCAGCUUAUAAAUAUGUGGAGGUGGGCUACAAUAAAAUUAUUUAUACGGAAAUUUAUUUUUAAUUUUAAUAUCAAAGGUGGAUUUGAAAGUAAAAUUUAUUUUUUAAGUUUUUUGACUUUGGCUCUAAAUUAUGCACACAUCGCCCG